AUCUGUAAAUGAUCCAAGUCAGCACCAGACAAUCUUGUGUUCAACAUAGUGAGGCAUCCGACCUACGCAAUUGGGAUACGAUGACAGGUGUCACCCAAGUCA